rnacentral:rRNA from 2 species
UACGUAGGGGGCGAGCGUUGUCCGGAAUUACUGGGCGUAAAGGGUGCGUAGGUGGCCUUUUAAGUUGGAUGUGAAAUACCCGGGCUUAACCUGGGGGGUGCAUCUAAUACUGGAAGGCUAGAGUGCAGGAGAGGAAAGCGGAAUUCCUAGUGUAGCGGUGAAAUGCGUAGAUAUUAGGAGGAACACCAGUGGCGAAGGCGGCUUUCUGGACUGUAACUGACACUGAGGCACGAAAGCGUGGGGAGCAAACAGG